UUGCAACAGGUGUCUGAAUAUUGUCCACACAUGGGGCAGGGUUUGAAGCAAUCCUUUUAUUCAUUUAUCAUCUCGAUGGAGAGACAAAAACAUUAGUUUCUCUUAAACCUACUGGAACAGCAGCACGGAGAGGACUGGAAUCUACAACUUCCUGAAUAUAUAGCAUGAGUGCUGUGUCAGCAGUCCCUUUAACAGAAAGGCAGUAAACGCUGACAACAGAAGCUUUUCUGCUGGCAUCAGAGCACCAUCUCUUCGAGGACACAUCAUAAACUAGCUAAGUGAACAGAAGCUCAUUCAAGGAAGCAAAGAUGACAUGCUACCAAUUUUAUCAUCAUGUCAAUGCCAAACAAGUGGGAUAAUUUUUCUCCAUCAAGCUGAAGUGACCACAUCACAAGAAUGCUAUAGUAGCAUAGCUGAGAAAAUUACUCAAGUUAUUUUGUGAUGAAUACCUUCCACAAUAUAAUGAUGAUAACCUUCCAGCUAGCAUCUAGAGUAUUCCAUUUCAUCCAAGGAUUAGCGUUAGCUUAUCUACACUUAUUAGCAAACAAGACAUUAUCUGUCUAUGAAACAUGAAUUAUUUUUUAAUUUUAUUUUUUUUUUUUACAAAUAUUUUGGGUAUAUGGAACCACAAUGUAGGCUUCCAAUGACAUCACGUGAUCAAUCCAAACUUCAACCAAUUGCAAACACUAUAUUUUACAGAAACAAAUUGACUUUAAGACUACUACAAUGACUGCAGUACUAAAGCAGAGAAAUUCAAUGCUGUGCAGCCAUUUCUACUAGCAUCAUCCAUUAACAGAUGUGUCCCAUCCAAUAUGUUUGCAAGAAAUGUGAAAUACUAAUAUGUUCCACAAGAAAAAAAAAGGUUAAAAUAUAGAGUGAUAUUCAGUGUCAUCCUUAGGAUGUAAGUAAAUGUAUUUUCCUAUGAAAAGUUAUUCCGGAAACACCCUAUUUUUCCACCUUCAAAUUGGAGUGCUAAGGUAUCUAGACUUGUGAAUUUAGUUCCUGAGAAAAAAAAGUCUUGCUGUGAAAUGGUCAGCCAGCUUGGUAGAAGCAGAACUCCUAACUUCAGAAUUAGUACUGAGAAGUCACAUGAAGCUAGAUAGCUGAACAGAACUACUGACACAUCAGCAGUCAGGUUCCAAGAAACACAUGAGAAGUGUUUUAUUGUCAAAUUUAAAUUUGGGGAAUUCCAAGAGCUUGUUACAGGAGGGAAAAUUUUACUCUUGUUUCUAGUUCAGGAACAUGGUGGUAACUGAAACUUGCU
rnacentral:lncRNA from 7 species